rnacentral:piRNA from 1 species
GUAAGUUUUUGAGGCAUGUAAUU